GAAGGUCUUUCCACUACCAUUCCUAUUGUCAGUGUGCAGACACUGGGGCUCGUGGGCAGGUGUGCAGACACACACAGGGGCUCGUAGGGCAGGUGUGCAGACACACACAGGGGCUCAUGGGGCAGGUGUGCAGACACAACAGGAGCUCAUGGGGCAGGUGUGCAGACACAACAGGAGCUCAUGGGGCAGGUGUGCAGACACAACAGGAGCUCAUGGGGCAGGUGUGCAGACACAACAGGAGCUCAUGGGGCAGAUGUGCAGAUACAGACAGGGGCUCGUGGGCAGAUGUGCAGACACACACAGGGGCUCAUGGGGCAGGUGUGCAGACACACACAGGGGCUCAUGGGGCAGGUGUGCAGACACACACAGGGGCUCAUGGGGCAGGUGUGCAGACACACACAGGGGCUCAUGGGGCAGGUGUGCAGACACAACAGGAGCUCAUGGGGCAGGUGUGCAGACACAACAGGAGCUCAUGGGGCAGGUAUACAGAUACACACAGGGGCUCGUGGGCAGGUGUGCAGAUACACACAGGGGCUCAUGGGGCAGGUGUGCAGACACACACAGGGGCUCAUGGGGCAGGUGUGCAGACACACACAGGGGCUCAUGGGGCAGGUGUGCAGACACACACAGGGGCUCAUGGGGCAGGUGUGCAGAUACACACAGGGGCUCGUGGGCAGGUGUGCAGAUACACACAGGGGCUCAUGGGGCAGGUGUGCAGACACACACAGGGGCUCAUGGGGCAGGUGUGCAGACACACAGGGGCUCAUGGGGCAGGUGUGCAGACACACACAGGGGUUCAUGGGGCAGGUGUGCAGAUACACACAGGGGUUCAUGGAGCAGGUAUGCAGAUACACACAGGGGUUCAUGGGGCAGGUGUGCAGACACACACAGGGGCUCGUGGGCAGGUGUGCAGAUACACACAGGGGCUCAUGGGGCAGGUGUGUAGAUACACACAGGGG